AGCCCGCCCGCCGCCGGAAUGGUAACCGCUCGCACCAGCCAAUAAGAGACGGCCAACGGCUGAAAGGCGGGGCUUUUUGUGCCUCGGUGGGGGGAGUUCUGAGGCUCCACGUGAAUGUUGAGACCCGUGGUGGAAAGAAGGGCUGGGCUUGCGACGCGGUAGUAGAGAACACAAGUCGAACACUUUCCAAGCGUUCAGGACUGCGUGAUGUAUCAGCGAAUUAUGCAAGCAGAUCCCAGGCAAAAGACACUGUGGAGUCCAAGUACAGGACAGGAUAGUAUUUCUGAAGAGAGGCAUUGAAUUCAUUGUCAACCAUUUUUGGUAACCUCAGUUAACAUGAUGACAUAAUAGAGGGAAACAUCUAAAUUUUCAGCAGUUUUCUUUUGUUUAGUUUUUGUUUUUCCACUUAGAAUACAGACGAUCAAAGACGUGGCUACAGUUCUGACUGUUUUGAUCAUACCCUGUAGAGAUCCCUGACUUCCCUCACUGCUAAUUUUACCGUUAAGUGUAAAGCAAUUUUAUGUUAUAAAAAAGAAACAGGCCUGGCACUGGUUGUUGAAGUGCAUGCUUCAGCAAUUCCACUGCCAGUUUUUGGACUCUCCUGACAUUGAUUUUUGUUCAC